CAGCAGCCGCGGUAAAACGGAGGGUGCAAGCGUUAAUCGGAAUUACUGGGCGUAAAGCGCGCGUAGGUGGUUCAUUAAGUUGGAUGUGAAAGCCCUGGGCUCAACCUGGGAACUGCAUCCAAAACUGGUGAGCUAGAGUACGGUAGAGGGUAGUGGAAUUUCCUGUGUAGCGGUGAAAUGCGUAGAUAUAGGAAGGAACACCAGUGGCGAAGGCGACUACCUGGACUGAUACUGACACUGAGGUGCGAAAGCGUGGGGAGCAAACAGGAUUAGAUACCCCAGUAGUCCCUGUCUCUUAUAC
rnacentral:rRNA from 1 species